rnacentral:rRNA from 1 species
UACGGGGGGGGGCAAGCGUUGUUCGGAAUUACUGGGCGUAAAGGGCUCGUAGGCGGCCAACUAAGUCAGACGUGAAAUCCCCCGGCUUAACCAGGGAACUGCGUCUGAUACUGGAUGGCUUGAGUUUGGGAGAGGGAUGCGGAAUUCCAGGUGUAGCGGUGAAAUGCGUAGAUAUCUGGAGGAACACCGGUGGCGAAGGCGACAUCCUGGACCAACACUGACGCUGAGUGAGCGAAAGCCAGGGGAGCAAAGCAGG